rnacentral:rRNA from 1 species
GAUGAACGCUAGCGGAAGGCAUAAUACAUGCAAGUCGAACGGAUGUAGCAAUACAUUAGUGGCGCACGGGUGCGUAACGCGUAUGCAACCUACCUUCAUCAGGGGGAUAACUACCCGAAAGGGUGGCUAACACCGCAUAAUACUACUGAAUGGCAUCAUUUGGUAUUUAAAUCUGAGGAGGAUGAAGAUGGGCAUGCGUCUGAUUAGCUAGUUGGUGUGGCAACGGCGCACCAAGGCGACGAUCAGUAGGGGAACUGAGAGGUUGGUCCCCCACACUGGCACUGAGAUACGGGCCAGACUCCUACGGGAGGCAGCAGUAGGGAAUAUUGGUCAAUGGUGGGAACACUGAACCAGCCAUUCCGCGUGCAGGAAGAAGGGUCUCUGACUUGUAAACUGCUUUAGCAAGGGAAGAAAAAGCUCAUGCGUGAGAAAUUGACGGUACCUUGAGAAUAAGCACCGGCUAACUACGUGCCAGCAGCCGCAGUAACAC